rnacentral:pre_miRNA from 1 species
UGGGGGAGGCCGGAUCCUGGGCUGUGUCCCGGCGCCCUGUGCCCCCGGUCCUGCGCUGUCAGAUUCGCGCUCCCGGCUGCCAGCCCCCU